UUAAAAAUUAGUUAAUUUAUAACAUUGGCUUGUCAAGCUAAAGUAGUCUUCCCGAUAUUUUUA
rnacentral:tRNA from 1 species